GGAUGUGAGGGCAAUCUGGCUGUGCAUUUGCCACCCCAUUGAUAGCCAGGGCUGAUUCCACUGCUCUGAAUGGUUAGGUAGUCAUCCCUUUCCUCCCUCACUGCUCCACUUGCACCCCUUCCAAAGCUGUGCAUUCAGUGGAAAAGGAUGACCAACCCCGAUAGAGGAGGAACUCUAAUCCUUUUCAAUGAAUCCCCCAAUGACCUAAAGACCUCCCACCAGGCCCCACCUCUAAAAAGAUUGCACCACCUCCAAUAAUACCACUCCAGGCACCAGGCCUUUAAU
rnacentral:sRNA from 1 species